rnacentral:rRNA from 1 species
UACGUAGGGAGCAAGCGUUGUCCGGAAUCAUUGGGCGUAAAAGCGCGCGUAGGCGGCCCUGUAAGUCCGUUGUGAAAGUCAAAGGCUCAACCUUUGAAAGCCGAUGGAUACUGCAGGGCUAGAGUCCGGAAGAGGCGAGUGGAAUUCCUGGUGUAGCGGUGGAAUGCGCAGAUAUCAGGAGGAACACCAAUAGCGAAGGCAGCUCGCUGGGACGGUACUGACGCUAAGGCGCGAAAGCGUGGGGAGCGAA